CCAGGUUCUUGUCUCAUUUAUUAAAUCAAUAGUUCUAUCACUUUUGAUUUUAUUAAUUUCUCCCUUAAUUUUUAGGAUUUCUAAUUUGGUUUUCUGCUGGGGGGUUUUAAUUUGAUCACUUUCGAGUUUUUUCAUUUGCAUUUCCAAUUGAUUGAUCUCUGCUCUCCCUUGUUUGUUAAUAUAAGCAUUCAGGAAUAUGAAUUUACCUCUGAUUACCGCUUUGGCUGCAUCCCAAAAGGUUUGAAAGGAUAUUUCGCCAUUGUCAUUUUCCUCGAUGAAAUUAUUAAUUGUUUCUAUGAUUUCUUCUUUAACUAAAUGGUUUUGGAGUAUCAUAUUGUUUAAUUUCCAAUUGGUUUUAGAUUUGGUUUUCCAUGUACCAUUACUAAUCAUUAUUUUUAUUGCCUUGUGAUCUGAGAAGGCUGCAUUCAUUAUUUCUGCUUUUCUGCAUUUGUGUGCUAUGUUUCUGUGACCUAAUGUAUGGUCAAUUUUUGUGAAUGUGCCAUGUGGUGCUGAGAAGAAGGUGUAUUCCUUUUUAUCCCUAUUUAUUUUUCUCCAUAUGUCUAUUAAUUCUAAUUUUUCUAAGCUUUCAUUCACUUCUUUUACCUCUUUCUUAUUUACUUUUUGAUUUGAUUUAUCUAAAUUUGAUAAUGGUUGGUUUAAGUCUCCCACUAGUAUGGUUUUAUUGUCUAUUUCUUCCUUCAAUUCUCCUAGUUUCUCCAUUAGAAAUUUGGGUGCUAUAUUAUUUGGUGCAUACAUGUUGAUUAAUGAUAUUUUCUCAUUGUCUAGAGUCCCUUUUAACAAAAUAUAAUUACCUUCCCUAUCCCUUUUGAACAGGUCUAUUUUUGCAUUGGCUUUAUCAGAUAUCAUGAUUACCACUCCUGCCUUCUUUCUAUCAGUUGAGGCCCAGAAGGUCUUACUCCAUCCUUUAAUUCUGACCUUGUGGGUGUCAACCCGCCUCAUGUGUGUUUCUUGAAGACAACAUAUGGUAGGGUUUUGGAUUCUAAUCCAUUCUGCUAUUUCUGGAUUUUCUGGGAGUCCAAUUAUUCUUAAAUUAUCUCUUCUCCCUCUAUGUUCCAGAUCUAUCACCUUGUCUGUGAGAUAUUUUAUGUUCUCUUCUAAUUUCUUGGUGUUUUGGCUUUGCUUUAUUAGUUCUUGCUUUAAAGCCUGGUUUUCUUUUACCGUUUGGUCAAACUGGUUUUGUAGAUGCGUGAAUUUCUUUUGCAUUAUUUCCCACUUUUCCUCCCAGAAGGCUUCCAUCUUUUUGGUCAUUUCUGAUUAAAAUUCUUCAUGGGUUUGUGGAGAGUUUCCAUUUCCUUUGGAAGAUUUUGGAGCAUUUUCUUGUAUAUCUUCUUCUAUCUGCUCUGUAUUUUGUAUUUUGGCUCCAUAGAAUGUGUCCAAAGUCGCCCCUUUCUUCUUAUUUUUCUUGGUAUUUUGGGGCUUCUGUGCUUCUGUGGAGUUUGCCAUCUCUGAAUGUGGAGGAUUAGCUUUUCUUAUCUCUGUCUGGUGUUCAGAGGCUUUAGUCCUGGGCAGAUUGUCGGUUCUAUGAGCUUUCCCUGGGUUAAACUGAAUAUGCCUCACUGGAACUGGAAUGGAAGGGUCGGACCACGAGGCCACACUCUCCCCCCGGC
ensembl:lncRNA